rnacentral:misc_RNA from 1 species
AGGAGUUCCUGAUACAUGGAAUGAGAUUUUGUAUGCAUAUUUGUUACAGCAACAUCACAAUUUUUUGUAACUUUCAGGGCAAGGAAAAAAAACAAAAUACAGAUUAUAAUAGAGGCACAUUUACAUAUCGAUACUUCAAGAACAAGUAAUUAAAAGUAAUUAUCGCAAUUUUUAGCUUAAAAUUUGUCUACUGACAAUCAGAUUAAAAGAAAAAAAUAAGAAGAAAAUACCAUAGCAAGCACCAUCAUGAAGUUGAAUUUUAUAGCAACUUUUCAUAGCAGAAUUUUGAUAAACUAUCAUCUUCUAAAUUAUUGUUCUGUACUUAUGUACUAGAAGUGGCAGCCAUCAACUAUAAUUUAUUCACAACGAGUGGCAUCAUCUUGAACUUGCUUACCUUGAACAAUAGGCUGGCCAACCAGUGGUGGUUAUCAACAUUCGACUUCAUGAGUUAUUUACAAGAGCUCCCACUCAGAGUCAUUGACAUGAUGUAUUUGGCAAUCAGCGUCCAAGGUUACAGUGGAGCUAGAUUGCAACUGAUCAUGCAGUGUAUCUUCGCUGGCCUCUAUAUCAGGGUCCCCAUACCAAAUUGCUAGCUGCUCAUACUCCUUGCUUAACCUCUUCUUGGAAGUAAAGGCAUCCUGGAGUUUUUUCUUGAAUGAUCUGAGUUUGCGGGUUCUACGAGAGACUUCAUGAAGCAUACUAUUGUCCACAAAGACACAGCUGUCAUCAAGCUUCACCUUGUCAGACAAAUCAAUGGUUUCCAUUCCAGAGUCUGUUAUACCAUCACUAAAAUUACUGGAGUAAUUGGAGCACCCUGCAUAUGGUUCUAAGAUUAGUAACAAGUUAACACCUUCAAAUACGAAAGAGAUGUCAUUUGUGCUCUCUUCUUAGAGAGUUCAUCCAAAAUAAGAAAAAACAACAGAACACCCUCAAAUCCACAUGUCAAAGUCACAAAAUGUGGAAGUCAAGGAGGCUGAAUGAAUUCUAAUACGCUGCUAAGCUCAAAGAUGUAGGACACAUUCACAUCAAUACACAAUACUAAAAAACAGUAAUGGGAUGAACUUGACAAGUCAAGAGUAUAAGAGAACCACAAGUAUAUGAUGCAUGCAAUGUGCAUCAAAACCAUGUCCAGUUGUUUAUAUGUAAAUCUUACUGGACGAGAUGCAUAUGACAUGUUGUAGGCACACCAAGAUUGAACAUUAGGUUGUUAUUUAUGGCAGCACAAGGUCAUGUUUCUCCAUGUCUAAAGAAAGUUGCUAAAUGGAAAUAAUCAUUCUGCUCUGGUUCAGGAUUGCAAUAGUUCUCAUUGCUUAUGAAACACAUGUGCAUGCAUGGAGAUGACUGGGUUUACGUGCAGACCUACCACAAGUAAACAACUGUUUAAAACUGAUUAUUCCUAGUUUAUGAACAAAUAAAAUCUUAUAUACUUGUCAAUAAUAACAGGGCCAUUUAUAACGAUCAAAAUUAUAUUCUCAAUAAUAGUAAACCAUACAGAUCUAUUGUCUCCUGAGAUGUCUCACCAGAAAAGAGUUCAUCUUCUUUUUCACAGAAUUUUUUAUAAAAGUUCACACCUAUAGACAAUGUAUGCAAAUACAGCACAAGUCUUCAUAUUCCCAGAUAAUGAGAUAAUUCAAGACACAUACUAAGAUAAAUUCAAACACACAAGCACAUUCUAGAGGCAUCUUCUUAAACAAACAAAGAAGGAAUACAUCACAUAAAACAGAAAUUGGGAAAUACCAACCUGUUGAUUCCAAUGACAGGACACUGCUAGAGCAAGUAUGUCCUGCCACUACCUCUCUAUUACUGGAUAUAACUGAAGCAGACAUAGAAGACAAGAGUACAUUGGAACUAUCAGAAUAAUGGCCACCCACAAUAGCAGGGUUACCAUAAGAUACCACUUUUGUAAGGACAUCAUUAAAUGAAUUCUCAGGAAGUGUACGAGGUUCUGUGAAUAUGGAACCACAGGAGGAGGCAACUGAAACAGCCAUUUCAGAAAGAGCAACAGCACUUGAGACAUCAGACAGAGAGUCGGAGUCAUCUGCAGCUGCAGAGAUGUAACAAACCACUUCCACCUUUUGAGGGGACUGAGACUCCUCUCCACGGAACGAAGAUGCAGGUGAAAAUUCAGACAUAGAAACACGCAUAUUUUCAUCACUAUAACUGGUGAAUUCACUAGACAGUGAUGCAUUAAAUGAUUCUUUCUCAUGAGGAGCAAUUGACUCAAAAGCCUCAGGUGCAUUAGACUUAUCCUUUAUUGCAAUUUCUUUCGCGCUAAAAUCAGAGUUCCCAUUCGUUGAAAUAUCAUCGAUCUUUGUUGGAGCUGAGUCAAAUUGUGCCCCCUCAAUGGAUUCCCCAGAAAUUGAAGUAUUUGAUCGAGUUAUGAGGUGGUGUACACUAAGCUCAUUAAUGGUUGAAACCUCAUUAACUUUUACAGGAGCUGAGUCAGAUUCUGCCCUGCAAAGUGACUCCUCAGAAGUUGGAGAAUUAGAUUGAUUCACAAGGUCGUGUCCACUAAGCUCAUUGCUGGGUGAAACAUCAUCAAUUUUUCCUGAAGCUGAGUCAGAUUCUGCCCCCUCAAGGGAUUCCCCAGAAGUAGGAGUAUCUGACUGAUUUACAAAGUGGUGUUCACUAAGCUCAUUACCAGGCUGAUUCUCCACAUUAUCAAAAUCACUGGGCUCAAGAAGUGACUGCUUUAUAGGAAUUGUAUGCCCAUGAUCUUCCUCAACACCAAUACUUGAUUUAAUAUAGGUACUAACAGCAGCAUUUGCUUUUAGAGCCACCACUUGAGCUUCACAUCUUACUGGAUCCACUAUAGGUGGAAUUAAGUCUUGAACAUCAGAAUAAAAUUUUUUCAUGUUCUCACCCAUUGUGUGCACCUGGUUUUCAACAUAUCUAACAGUAUCCUGCACAAGAAAGCAAUGCAAGUACAAGAGGAAUUGCCAAAUCAUGUCAUGUAUGAGGCUUUGGUUUAUGCAGGGCUACAGCUACCAGAAGGAUAUCCCACACUGUUGAUGCAAUUAUAGAUAAGUUACAUCUAUUCAAUUAAAUAUGACUACCAAACUUCUCUAUAAGAAUGAUUAAGGCCGGUAUCCAAAGGGGAAAGAAGAGAAAAGAGGAAAACUGAUACCUGGUUCACAAUGUUAUCCACUUCAUGGCAUAUUGUUUCAAUCCUCUGGUAAAUGUUGCCAACCCAGGCUAUACCUUUAGAUUUUAAAUCCAUUAUAAAUGUGUAUUUUACUAAAUGCCAAUAGUGCUUUGGACACCAGAAAAGAAGAAUUAAGGGAGAGCGGUGAUGAUCAUCGCCGGUUCGUUUGGCUUAGCUGCCGGGUUUCUUGAUACGCAGAAGGAAGUGGGUUUUGGGAUAAGCACUUUUUUUUAUAAAAUAGGGUUUAAUAGCUGCUUUGGUUGUAAUUGCCUAACAAAGAUAGGCUUCCAUCGCUAUUUUGUUCCCAAUCAAAUCAGGCUAUCUAUCGACGGAC